rnacentral:tRNA from 1 species
GGAGGGUUCGCAUAGUGGUCUAGUGCGCCACCUUGGAAAGGUGGUAAGGGGGAAACUCCUUCAAGGGUUCAAAUCCCUUACCCUCCGCCA